rnacentral:rRNA from 1 species
GGAGUUAGCCGGUGCUUCUUCUGUGAGUGAUGUCCUUCCUGCCGGCUAUUAACCCGCAGGCCUUCUUCCUCACUGAAAGUGCUUUACAACCCGAAGGCCUUCUUCACACACGCGGCAUGGCUGGAUCAGGGUUGCCCCCAUUGUCCAAUAUUCCCCACUGCUGCCUCCCGUAGGAGUCUGGGCCGUGUCUCAGUCCCAGUGUGGCUGAUCAUCCUCUCAGACCAGCUACGGAUCGUCGCCUUGGUGAGCCGUUACCUCACCAACCAGCUAAUCCGACAUAGGCUCAUCCGAUAGCGCGAGGCCCGAAGGUCCCCCGCUUUCCCCCGUAGGGCCGUAUGCGGUAUUAGCCUGGGUUUCCCCAGGUUAUCCCCCACUACCGGGCAGAUUCCUAUGCAUUACUCACCCGUCCGCCGCUCGCCACCAGGGAGCAAGCUCCCCGUGCUGCCGCUCGACUUGCAUGUGUUAGGCCUGCCGCCAGCGUUCAAUCUGAGCCAGAUCAAACACUGACUCGAGCGGCGCGCGACGGACGCGA